AAUCUCUGGUCUCCUUUCACAACGAAUAAAUCUUUCGCCUUUUACUAAAGAGUUCCUGGAAUGGGACUCACUGAUGAGUCUGUAAUGAAACUGUUUAUAGUGCCAAAAAUAAGACAU
rnacentral:snRNA from 1 species